GGCCAGGAGGGAGGGACAGGGACAGAAGGCUCAGGGCUUGCCCCAGCCACCAGGCGGUGGCUUCGCUGCUUGGAGGAGGACGUGCCUGGCCUCUAAGAGAUACCCAGCAGCGCGGAGCAGGUGCCAGCCCUCAGACCCAGAACAGCUACGUGCCAGGCCGCGCACAAUCAGACCAGAGGUCCCACUCUCCCACCAGCCCCGAAGAACGCUCACGCCGGGCGGGGCGGGAAGGGAGGGCAGGGACCCAGCUUCGCCCUCCGCCAUUGCCGCGGGCGCUGGCCCCGCCUCCGGCGCGUGAGGGAUGGGGCCUGGGGCUCGCCUGCUGGAUCGAGCGCGCCUUGGGUGUGGAACCGGGGACGGGGCGUGGAGCUGUGGCGGGAAGGGCGAGGGGGGCGGGGCCUCGCGCGGGGGCGGGGCUCAGGCCCAGCGGGCCGCGGCCUCUGACCACAUGGAGCGCGGCGCUCUGGCCGGAUUGAGGCGGCGGCCUGUGGAGGAGGAGCGGGGUGGCCUCCGGGACACGAAACGGGCACGUAGGAGCAUCGAAGCUGGUCCUGGGGAGGACACUGACCGGGGGCAAAAUGAACUGCUCCAGGGGUGCUGGAUUACAGACUGGGGCUUGGAAUCCAAGGGCUUCAUUGCACAGGAGAGCCUGCCUGGAAAUAUCCAAGGCAGACAGAGCUCAGUGAUUUCUGCCAACAACGAAAGGCGUCCCACCCAGCCUUGCUCACGAUGCCUCGCCGGCGAGUCUGGGCAUUUUAACCAUGCCAUGAACUGUUAGAAGAUACAAGUUGGCAAAGAAGGCCGAAUCCAGUCUUGGUCCUGAAUCCUCCGCAUGGUGAUGAAUGUGAAUCUCUUAUGGAUGGAUUUAAGGGCCCACCUGUUCAAAGAACAGCCUGGAUGUUAUUUCCUGGGAAACUGUUUGCUCUCUCAUUCAGAUAAUCCCCCAGUUCUCAGUUCUGGGGCCCAGAAGAUCAACACCACUUCAAAAUAACCUCCUUAUUGUUAUUCCUCACUCUUAAAAUAUGUCUUUUUGUAGAAGAGUGUGGAGUCAUUAAGUCAUGAUCAAUUUCGUAUUUUUUUUAAAAAAGAAAAGGUUGUCAGGAGGAUGACAAUUCCUCCAUGAGGAGGAAUUUCUUAGAAAUAUGAUGGCUUACAGUCCAUGCCCUGGAGUAAGCCUGCUUAGCUCCUGUUAGAUUAUUUUGUCAAGAGCACUGACUUGUGUAUAUUCAAGACCACUUGUGUCCAUUUUUAAUAGCAGAAAAUGUUAUUUUCAUAUUAUAAAUGUGAAAUUCUAUUCUGCAGCAUAAAACGGAAUUUUAUCAUGGGAGAAAUCACUCCAUUUUUGUAAUUCUUUAUUUGGCUGAAGGCAAAGGACCAUGUUUACAGUCAAAUGGAAACACCCUCUUUUGCCAGGAUUUUAAUUCUCCCAUUUCCAAUGCUUUAGGUGAUGGGUUUUGAGUUCAGAAAUCUCUGUGAGGGGCCUCAGUCAGACAGCUGCUCAGGCUUCCAGGGGAGUGUGAGCUGAUUAAGUCAGCCACAAAUUCUGGAAUGUUUCAGAAUCAAAAGUGGGAUGGAAUACCUUGUACUCCCCAUGCUCCCUGGAUGGAAUUCACAUGAGGCCAUGUUUUCUAUCUCUGUUCAAGGCCAUCUUGAUGAGCCCAAUGCGUAAGUCAUCACAGAUGACAUUUUCAUGUUGGGAAAAGGGAAGAAAUGGAAGGCAAACUGAUCGGAAGUGACUCUGCCGCUGCUUGUGGUCAGGAUUCUCUAACAUUACAAAGCAUAUUACAGUCAUCAAGAAAGACUUAGGUCUCUGCUGCCAGAAUCCUAAGGUCACUGGAUGGAUUUGGGUUUGGGAGAUUUAAAAACAAUAUUAUUAAUGCUUUUGAUGAUACAUGUAGGACCAAAAAAGCUGAGCAGACUCUGUGGAGAGGGACAGAUGACUCCCUUCAGGACCCCCCACAUGCUCCAGUAGGAUCCUUCCCAUGUCAGAGGGAUCUGAGGAGAGCCCUCAGUGCAUCCUAUAUGGGAAGGCUAGGGGAGGACGUGGAAAGAGGCUCAGAAGAUGAGUAGAUGUGGAUGGGCUGAGGUCCACACAAUAGGAGGCCAUGCCUUCCUCAGGGAGGUCAUGGAUUCAUUGGAGUGGAGGAAUGUGGUUCUCAAGGCCAUUUCGAUAUGCCCCCAACCACAACACCGAUGAAAGAGCCAAACAAACCAAAGGCCUCAUUGUCAUUUCAUUGUAAUCUGUUCGUGGGCAGUGGGAGACAGGUAGAGGAGGAGAACCCGCUGCAGCCCUUUUCAUACCCCAGGCAGAGCCACUUGAUGUUGCCUCCAUCAGCAUUGUUUCCUAAUGGUGUUGGUGAUACAUUGUAACCAAACUUAAUCAAGAAACUGGUGUGAUAUUCCACUAAUUGUCCCUGUGUAACCAUGUGUCCCUUGCUCUGUGGCACUCAUUGCAUGCCCCCAGAGUCACUUUUUACAGCACCAGUCAUUGAUGGUAGGUGGGCUACACUUACUCAACAAGUUUAUUUCUAUUUCUGUGCCAAAAGUGAGGAACUGCAAAAUGCUCAGAUGACACAAAGCCUUUACCACUAGCUAAUUCACAGACAUUGUAAAUGAAUCAGCACUAUCCGGUAUUUCAAAGUUUAAAGGCGAAGAGUGACUCGAAGGUCGUCUUUUUAAAAAUUGGGGUCAUAAGAUCAUAAAGUUCAACAGGGACCUUAGGCACCAGGAAGCCCAGUCCAAAGGAGGUGCAGUGACUUGCUCAAAGUCCCACCGAUUGCAGAUAUUUCAUAGCCUGUGAUUUCACAGAUGAAGAAACAAUCCCAUACAAGACAUGUGCUUGGUCGUCUAGCCAAUUAGUAACAUAGGCAAGAGUAGAAUUCAGAUCUCUUUGAGGUGGCACGAUGAGGGCUACGGAUCGACCAGACCUGGCUUCUGGUUGUGAUUCUGGCCCUUUUUAUUAGUAUGACCUUGGGCAAGUCCCUUUGAGUCUUGGUGUCUUCAUCUGCAAAAGAUAGAGUUGGACUAAAUGACCCCUGAGUGUCUUCCCAGUUCCAAACACAGUGCUCACCAAGCCUGGCUCUGUUUCCAUAGCUCCACCUUCUCAGACAUCCUGAUCCUGACCUUGAAACUCCUCCUUCACAAGAAAGAUUCGAGACACACACACACACACACACAGAGUAUGUGAGAGAAAGCCCGGGCCAGGGAAAGUAUUCCAUCUUGGAGCCAGUGUUGUUAUUCCCUUAUCUCAUAGAGCUUUGUGUCAUCGUUUUUUCUAAGCAGCUAGUUAGGUCUUUACAUGUUUAGUCUGUAUGUAUAUACAUAUACACAUACAUACAUACACACAAAAUAAACGUAUUGUCCCUAAUUAACUAGGCCA
rnacentral:lncRNA from 1 species